rnacentral:lncRNA from 1 species
AAUGCCCCAACAAUCUCAUGAGGAUACCAACUCCGAUGUUUCGUGGCAAAUGGCAUUGCCUGGUAUCAAUCGCUUACCUUCUAUAAAUGUAAGCACAAGCUUUGUCAGUGUCACUGAUAGCGAGGCUUUUUCAGAAUUGAGGAUCGAUGAAACCAGAUGAUUUGUGGCCUCGUUGUUGUUAGCAUUCCAUCUUAUUCUACUUCAUUCUGUCUAAUGUAAUUGUGUAUCAAAACAGUGUGUAAUAGUCAGUGUUCAGCUUUAAUUUCUGCAUUGGAUAAUAGGCAAAUGCCUCUUGACAAUGCAUCUGUAUUGAUAGUAUAUAAUAUUCAUAAUAAAGUCUCGUGUCUAUUCUCCCAUAGUGUCUAGUUUUAGUUUUUGUUUGUUCAAAUUUAUAACAUAUCAUCAUCUCUAAAAUUCUCUAUCAUCUAAAAAAAUACUACAAAAAAACCCCUCUCGGAUACAUCUCUAUUUUCUCUCAAAUACAUCUCUAUCCCCUUUCAGAUACAUCUCUAUCCCCUUUCAGAUAUAUACAUCCACUCUCUGAUACAUCCCUCCUAUUAAGUAAUGUAUCAUUUGCAAUAUAUCGGACAACUAAAGAAUAUAUCCGGGAAUAAUGCAAAAUCCAAGAUUUUUAUUAUUAGGAAAACUUAUGGGAUAGGAUGUAAUUAGUCGUACGAAUUUCUGUACUUUAUAUAAAUUAUACUAAAACAAAUGCUUUAUUUGCUUUCGCUCUAGAGUCUUUCACGGUACUUUUAUUGUUAACUUUUAAUUAUUACCCAAAAGUUCCAUUGAAAUAUCCGUCUAUUUAUUUGUUAUCAAACUCUACUUAUAUUUUUUUUUAAAUAUAUAAUUAUAUAUAUUUUUUUAAAUUUUUUUCAAACACUCAAAUGUAUUUUUCAUAAAUGAUGAGUUCUGUGAUACCAAAUAUUUUUUAAUGUUAAAUUGAUUUUAUAAAUAAUAUUUAAUUUAGAAUAAAGUAUUGAAAUUGAUAAUAACCUGUCGAAAUGUUUAGUGAAAAGAAAUGAUAAAGAAUUUUAUUAGAAUGAAUUAAUAUAUCCUUAAUUUUUAUUUAUAAGAUAUAAUAAAUUAAAAGUAUAUGUAUGGGAGAAUAACAAAUGACAAAAAAAAAAUGAAGAGGCAGUUAUGAGUUCUAUUUUACGAAGAGUAUUUUGAGACUUUAAAAACUUAUGAGGUACCAAAUAGUUAAGUAUUUGGUCAAAUAAAAAGUGUUUUUGCAUUGAAUUACAAUCAAAUAGUUAAGUAUUUUUUUUAAUCAAAAUUUUCAGGCUUUUUAUUGAUUAGAAAAGCUGAAAUAAAUACAAAACAUCACUAAUUUGGGUCUACUACACAAAUCUAAUAACUUUAUUAAAUAGAGAAAGGGUCGCCCAACUCAGACCAAACCUUUUCCUAAUAUAAAUAAACAAACAAAAAAAACUAACCAUCUAAGACAUCUUCCUUAAGAUUAGGUUUCCUAAUUCGCCGCUCCUUUCUCUUCAUCUCUCCAAAAGACCUCCACAUCUAAAAAAUAUUUUUCCUAUGGUCGAACAAGACAUUUCGUAUCCUUAAUUAUGUUGUGAAUGAUCAAUGUUCUCAAGAGGAAGAUCAUAAGAACAUUGAUUACCCACAACAUGAGGAGACUGAAGGCCUUGUUUGAUCAUAGAAUAAACAUUUUUAGAAGAAAAGGUUAUUGGAGAGAUGAAGAGGAAGCAACGGUGGAUUAAUAAACCUAAUCUUAUGGAAGAUGUCUUAGAUGAUUAGGUUUUCUUGUUUAUAUAGGGAAAUGGUUUGGUCCGAGUUGGGCAGCCUUUUCUCUAUUUAGUAAAGUAAUUAGAUUUGGGCGGUAGGCCCAAAUAAGUGAUGUUUUAUGUUUGUUUCGGCAUUCCUAAUUAAUAAAAAGCCUGGAAAUUUCAAUUUAAAAUAAAUAAAUUAAAACCAUAAUUUAGGUUAAAAAUUAUGACUCUUCAUUAAUUUUUUUUAACUUAAUAAGCGAUUUUUGAGUAUUUACUAGACAAAUAGAUAAGCUUGUUUAAAAAAAAAAAAAAAAAAAAUUUAUGAGCUAGUUUGAUAUGAUGGAGAAAACUACAUAAAAUUUGUCUUUAUUGGGUUAUUAUUAUAAAGUUAGUCUUUGUUGGGUUAUUGUCAUAAAUUCGUCUUUAUUGUAUAUUUAUCAUAAAUGUGUGUAUUUUUCUCCUUAAAAAUAACAUUUUAAGUAAAGAAGGAUGAAGGAGAAUUUUAAUUAUCCUCAAGUUUUGAAGGAUAUAGUUGAUCUUAAGGUUAACGCUUCACAAAAAAUAAUAAUUCAAGCAUACAAAGAUUAAGUAUUUUCUCUGUCCCAAAUUUGGUGAUAUGUUUUAUUUUUGAAAUUCAAAUUAUGUGAACUUUAAAAGACAUUUUAAAAUAUAUAUUUUCAUUAAACUGAUAUGAAAAAAAUUGCAUAAUGUAAUAUUUUUGUAGGGAAAAUGCAUAAGCACCCCCCAACGUAUGCCCGAAAUCUCAGAGACACACGUAUACUAUACUAAGGUCCUAUUACCUCCCCCCCCCGAACUUAUUUUAUAAAUAAUUUUCUAUCGGCCUACGUGGCACUAUCUUGUGGGCCCAGCGCGUGUUGACAAAUUUUUCAAGCUAUCUGUUGAUAGUGCCACGUAGGUCGAAAAGGGGUAGAAAAUUAUUUAUAAAAUAAGUUCGGAGGGUAAUAGGACCUUAGUAUAGUAUAAGUGUGUCUCCGAGAUUUCGAGCAUAGGGUUGGGGGGGGGGGGGCUACUUAUAUAUUUUCCAUAUUUUUGUAUAGUAUUUGAAUAUUUAUAGUUUAAAUGUAACUAUUAAAUUGAUUUAAUUCAAUUUUUCUUCAAAAAUUAGUCAAAUUAACUCUCGAAAGCGAAAUAUGACAAUUAAUUUGGCAAAAGUACUCAUUACCCCCCUGAACUUGAAGCUUUUUAUACGGUGUACACCUAAACUAAAUUCCGUUUUAAUUACCCCCGAACUUGUUUAUUCCUCCGUCGCGUACACCUUUUUUGUCUACCUGGCGUAGAAAUUGACAACACACUUUUCUAGGCGCGUGAGAAAGUGAUUUUUUGCUACAUCACAAAGCUACAACGGUAAAAAAAAACGUAAAAUCUCCAUUUUCUUUAAUAUUUGGCAUAUUUUAAACGAAAAAUAGGGCAAAAUGUAAAUGAAAAGUAAAGGAAACAAAGAUUAACACUUAUUUGGUAAGAAUUUCCAACAAAUUUGAAAUUCAAGGAGUUUCACGAAAUCAACCCUUAUUCAAAAAUAACUUUUAAACGAUGAAUUUUAAUAUUUGGCAUAUUUUAAACGAAAAAUAGGGCAAAAUGUAAAUGAAAAUUAAAGGAAACAAAGAUUAACACUUACUUGGUAAGAAUUUCAGACAAAUUUGAAAUUUAAUCGACCAACUUCACGUCUAGAAAAACCCAAAUCCAGAAGGAGUUCCGCGAAAUCAGCCCUUAUUCAAAAAUAACUUUUAAACAAUGAAUUUUAAAUUUAAGAAAUUUAUUUUUUGCAAUAUUAAUUUAUCUAGGUGACUAUUAUUUAUCCAGGUGGAAAUCCACAUCACCACUUUUGCCAGCUGUCGCGCGCGUGUAGUCACAAUAGGAGCAGGUGGACGAAAAAGGUGUACGCGACGGAGGAAUAAACAAGUUCGGGGGUAAUUAAAACGGAAUUUAGUUUAGGUGUACACCGUAUAAAAAGCUUCAAGUUCAGGGGAGUAAUGAAUACUUUUGCCCAAUUAAUUUAGAAGGAGUAUUAUUUUGGUUGAGUCAUCAGCUGUGGUUUAAUCACAAUUAGAUCAAGUAUUUUAUAAACUAUUGAGAAAAUGGUCAAAUACCCCCCAACCUAUAGUCGGAUUCCCAACUACACACUCAUACUUUACGAGAGUUCUAUUACACCCUUGGACUAUUUUAAAAUGGAGUUAUUUGCUCCCUAAAUGCUUAUGUGACAAAAAAGGUGUAGUUCACUCUCUUUGGGAGAGUGAUAGAUAAAAAGAUAGUUAAACUAUUAAAUUUAUAAAUAUUUAAUUUAUUUCAUAUUAAUAUUCUAUUUUUUUUAAAAAAUAUGUUUCCUUUUAUUAUUUUUUACCUUCUUUAUCUUUUCCCUUCAAUCUUCAUCAUCAGAUCCAUACUAGACAUCGGCGGUGGCUCAUCUCGACCACCAGGUCACCGCCCUCAUCAAUUUUUCAUCACUAAGUCAAUUCUCAUCACCAAAUCACAUACUUUUCAUCUUAUCUCCACUUUUCAUCACUUUGAAAAUUUGUUGGUAGCUCAAAAUCAAAAUUCGAAGUUACAAGAAUCUAACUUUAGACUAGUCAUUAAUGGAGGAGUUCACUAAGUAAUAGAUUCAAUUAAUGGAGAAGAAUUCAUCAUUGGGUAACUGACCCUUUAAUGAAGAAGACCCAUUUAUUAAAAUUGUUGUAAACAUCAAUCGAAUUUCUCAUAUCAACAUUGUUAAAUCUAAACCAAUACUAGUCCCUCCGCAAGUUUGGUACCUUUAUCCCGGCAAGCAAGUAUCGUUUACUUGUGAUUCUUUGAAGAAUCGAUCUUUGAGAAAUAUUAUAAUAGCGGAAGAAGAAGCAAUAAUUAGUGAUAGAGUUUUUCGUUUGUCUCUAGCUUUAGAAAACGAGAUUUCCUGGUGUGCGGUGAAGGUCAAAGUAUCGAUAGUCCUGGCGUCCUCUCGUCAAAUCUGCAGAAGGUUCAAAGAAAAAGAAAUGGAGGAAUGGAAAAGAAAGAGAAAAGGAGAAGAUGAAAAUAUAAAAUAAAAAAGUAAAAUAUAAAAUAACAAUUAAUUUUUUUUAUAUGAAAAAAAGGUAAUAUUACGUGGCAGCGCGUGUUGAAUACCACCUAAUACAAAUUUGGGCUUGAGUUUGUAGGGCGGGGGGAGGAGGGGGGGGUUGGUCAUUUAGAAAGCCUUAAAAAAAGACUUAAUACCUCCAAACUAAACAUUGUUUUAAAAAAUGAAAAAAAUAUUUAUAUACACAUCCUUAUUUACCAUAUUUUCUAUUAUUCCAUACCAUUUCAAAAUAUUACAAAAAUUCCUCUUUUUCAUCCAAAACCAAACUCAAUCGAAUACAUUACCGAUCAACUCCCAAAGCCACGCUCCCCUCUUCCUAUUUUCACUCCCACAAUCUUAUCAAUUUCUUCCUUCAUUACAAUUUGAAUUUCAAAAAUUUUCUCUCUCCAGUCAAUCGAAUUCAACUUCAUGAAUAUGUAGUUUUUCGUCUUCUCCAACUUAUGGUUCAUCCUUGUUUUCUUUUUUUUCAUCAUCAAAGUCCUGCUUUAUAUGGAAGAUGCUCCUUCUUUUCGACUUCGUGAAAAAAUGCACAAAAACGGAGAAAAAGGUCAAGUUGUUGGUGGCUCUUAUAAGGACUUUGGGCCGAGAUUCAUGGGUGAUGUCAUUGUUGAAAGUGAAAAAAAGUUAUGGGAGUUGAUAUUGAGCAAAGGAGAAAGUGUAGAAGGAUUUCUUCACAAUUUUUUUUAUUUCAGCACAUCAGAUUGUUGAUUUUUUUUUUUUUGAUACUUUGUUGUUCAACAUUUUUUUUAUACAAAAAAAAGGGGAGUAGAUCAUGUUGUUAAACACACUUCUCUAUCCAAGGUUCAGAUUUUUAAUGUAGUUGAUUUUGAUUUAUAAAUUUAUGUAUAAUACCUUCGUUUCAACUUUAUGAUACGUUAAAUUAGCCUUUGUUAGUGUUAUCACUGAUCUGAUACAUCAUUGCUACAAUAGCUUUCGUUAUUAUGCAAUGUAUCAUGUUCAUAUUUACAGUUUUGAUACAUAACCCUAAUGUUGUUGAAUCUUUGAUUAGUAUUUAUCAUGUUUAAUAUAAAUGAACUUGAUACAUAAACACUACCGAGGUUUCUCAGAAUUGAGGAUAGAUGAAACCAGAUGAUUUGUGGCCUUGUUGUUGUUAGCAUUCAUCGAUAUGUAAUUCC